rnacentral:rRNA from 1 species
UACAGAGGUCUCAAGCGUUUGUUCGGAUUCAUUGGGCGUAAAGGGUGCGUAGGCGGCGCGGUAAGUCGGGUGUGAAAUCUCGGGGCUUAACUCCGAAACUGCAUUCGAUACUGCCGUGCUUGAGGACUGGAGAGGAGACUGGAAUUUACGGUGUAGCGGUGAAAUGCGUAGAUAUCGUAAGGAAGACCAGUGGCGAAGGCGGGUCUCUGGGCAGUAACUGACGCUGGAGGAGCGAAAGCGUGGGGAGCGAACAGG